AGGCCUUAUGGUUUGCUAUUAUUUCUAUCACUUUGCAGAAUUUCCUUCCUUAACUCCGGCUGCUUUUCGAGAAGUUGGGACGGCCAUGUGUCGGCUGGAGCAGGAUAUCGAGCAUGUGGUUUGCUUGGCUUUGAUGCAAGUUGAGCAGUACUGGGCUCCUCAUGCACUUGCAUAUUUGAGCAGAUGGGAACAAGAUAUAAUUGAUUUACAGUUUGUAUUUGCUGCUGUCCAGGUUGCAUGAAAGGAAAUCCGGGAUGAUCCUUACUUCUAUGUGAUGCGAGUUCUUGGAGAUCACAUUCAGGAGGGGCCACGUUCAGGUCGAGUCGGGACUCAGAAACACAUGCCUUCAGCUCACUCCGCAAGUUCCCGAUUUGAGCCUCUAAAGCAGAAUUUUCAUCUUGUAGUUCCUUCUUUUCCACAGUUAUCUACAUAACGAAAUUAUCAGGUGAAAAAGAUGACAAUUCGAAUUGUCAAAAUCGAAAAUCACGGUUAACCGAACUGGAUAGGGCGAAAAAAAUCGAACCGAUGGUAUUUGCGCCGUGCCCUGCCCCGAACCGAUUACCCGUUAAAAAAUUAAUAAUAAUAAAUAAAAUUAAAAAUUAAAAAAAUUGGACAAUUGGGCUUUCCAUUAUUCUUUCUAUUAUAAUUUGUUUAGCCCAAAAUUUAUGACCCAUUACCAACCCAUUAAGUAACCUAACGUAGUUACCACUUACCUACUAAGUACUAACCCAACCACAAAGAAAAUUAGAAUCAAAUUCAACAAGACAUUAGCACACAGCCGUCUUCACUCGAGUCUCUGCAAUGUGUCCUCAAAAUUUUUUUCUUCUCCACUUCGUAUUCUUUCUUGCUCGGCAUUGCCAUCCCCAAAUAGGAGGGUAUUUUUCUUCUUCUUCUUCUCGUUUGCUAAUUGCUGUUGUUAUCUCUGUAUCUAUUUUUGUUUUUGUCGAGAAAAAUGGAAUAAUAAAAAUGAAAAUUUGUUGUAAUAUAAAAUGAAUGACCAGUACAUAUUCAAAGAGUAACUAAUAAAACUACUCACUAAACUUCAUCCAAACAUACAUACUCAAAAAGUGCAAUUACUUUAUUAACAAAAUAAGUAAAUUUAUUUAUGUGAAUUUUUAAUAAUAAUCAAACAAGCUCUCAUUGAGUUCCAUCAAUCUUUUAGAUGAUUUAAGUUUUAACUUUUUCCCCCUUUUUUUAACGGUUUUGGUAAAUAUGCUUGGAGAAAGUCUAAAAAAACUCACAUGAGUAACAUCAUGCAAGAAACAAUUUCUUAAUUGACAGCAUUUCAACUAAUUAACUGCUCAUCAUCGUCAAUAUGAGUAAGUAUCUGUCUAAGAAAGAGGUGAAGGAAGGACACAGUUUCUAGCAGACUAAGCUUCAUAUUAGUCAAAAUUACACAGCAUCACAUCUUUAAGGCCUUAUGGUUUGCUAUUAUUUCUAUCACUUUGCAGAAUUUCCUUCCUUAACUCCGGCUGCUUUUCGAGAAGUUGGGACGGCCAUGUGUCGGCUGGAGCAGGAUAUCGAGCAUGUGGUUUGCUUGGCUUUGAUGCAAGUUGAGCAGUACUGGGCUCCUCAUGCACUUGCAUAUUUGAGCAGAUGGGAACAAGAUAUAAUUGAUUUACAGUUUGUAUUUGCUGCUGUCCAGGUUGCAUGAAAGGAAAUCCGGGAUGAUCCUUACUUCUAUGUGAUGCGAGUUCUUGGAGAUCACAUUCAGGAGGGGCCACGUUCAGGUCGAGUCGGGACUCAGAAACACAUGCCUUCAGCUCACUCCGCAAGUUCCCGAUUUGAGCCUCUAAAGCAGAAUUUUCAUCUUGUAGUUCCUUCUUUUCCACGGUUAUCUACAUAACGAAAUUAUCAGGUGAAAAAGAUGACAAUUCGAAUUGUCAAAAUCGAAAAUCACGGUUAACCGAACUGGAUAGGGCGAAAAAAAUCGAACCGAUGGUAUUUGCGCCGUGCCCCGCCCCGAACCGAUUACCCGUUAAAAAAUUAAUAAUAAUAAAUAAAAUUAAAAAUUAAAAAAAUUGGACAAUUGGACUUUCCAUUAUUCUUUCUAUUAUAAUUUGUUUAGCCCAAAAUUUAUGACCCAUUACCAACCCAUUAAGUAACCUAACGUAGUUACCACUUACCUACUAAGUACUAACCCAACCACAAAGAAAAUUAGAAUCAAAUUCAACAAGACAUUAGCACACAGCCGUCUUCACUCGAGUCUCUGCAAUGUGUCCUCAAAAUUUUUUUCUUCUCCACUUCGUAUUCUUUCUUGCUCGGCAUUGCCAUCCGCAAAUAGGAGAGUAUUUUUCUUCUUCUUCUUCUCGUUUGCUAAUUGCUGUUGUUAUCUCUGUAUCUAUUUUUGUUUUUGUCGAGUUUGAGUAUUUGAUGAAAUGUGAUUUUUUUUUCCACAUAAAAAGAUGAAUUUAAUAAACUUAGUCUGCCCAGAGAUAUUAAGUUUUAUUGCUGGAGGAACUCAAUGAUAUGCACUUUAAGUUUGAGAAUAAUCAAUGAAAAUACAAGGAUACGAGCAAGUUAUGAAAUUAUUGAAUUCACCCCGCACUAGAUUGCAUGAAAAAUCUCUUGAGGUUUUAUAGAGAAUUUUUAGAAUUAUUGAAUUUAAACAAAAAUAUGGGAAUUCUGCUCAAAUGUCAUUAGUAGAUAUCACUUAGAGAUGAACAAGUAAUGCAAGAUCUUUGACUACCAAAAUUCUUUCUCAAUUAAAUGUACUUUAUGAAUAGUCUUCAUUUUUUUUAUUGUGAUAUUGAAAUGAGAGUAUAUAUUUUAUGUGGAUAUUGAAUUGGGAUAUUGUUUGCAUUUUCAUUUGAGAUGUUGUUUGCUACAUUUGCUUAGUAUUAUAUUUUUGUUUUCAUAGACUUUUCUUUCAUAAUAUAUAUAUAUAUAUAUAUUUAUUUAUUUAUUUAUUUAUUUAUUUAUUUUUUUAAUAUUUAAAUUUGAUGGUUGGACCUAUAAAAAAUAAUUUAUUUUCGUGGUUAUUAAUAACCCGAACCGAGAUAUGAAUCAAAAAGAACCGAAUCGAUUUACGUGGUUAUGAUGCGGUUAUGGUAUUGCUAAAAAAUUGGUGGUUCGGUGAUGGUUUUGGUUGAACCGACCCCGAAUCGAACCGUUGCCAACCCUCUGGAAAGGGAUAGUCAAAUAAUGUGUAGGUAAGGUGUAGGAAGUUAAAAGAACACAUGCCUUCAGCUCACUCCGCAAGUUCCCGAUUUGAGCCUCUAAAGCAGAAUUUUCAUCUUGUAGUUCCUUCUUUUCCACGGUUAUCUACAUAACGAAAUUAUCAGGUGAAAAAGAUGACAAUUCGAAUUGUCAAAAUCGAAAAUCACGGUUAACCGAACUGGAUAGGGCGAAAAAAAUCGAACCGAUGGUAUUUGCGCCGUGCCCCGCCCCGAACCGAUUACCCGUUAAAAAAUUAAUAAUAAUAAAUAAAAUUAAAAAUUAAAAAAAUUGGACAAUUGGACUUUCCAUUAUUCUUUCUAUUAUAAUUUGUUUAGCCCAAAAUUUAUGACCCAUUACCAACCCAUUAAGUAACCUAACGUAGUUACCACUUACCUACUAAGUACUAACCCAACCACAAAGAAAAUUAGAAUCAAAUUCAACAAGACAUUAGCACACAGCCGUCUUCACUCGAGUCUCUGCAAUGUGUCCUCAAAAUUUUUUUCUUCUCCACUUCGUAUUCUUUCUUGCUCGGCAUUGCCAUCCGCAAAUAGGAGAGUAUUUUUCUUCUUCUUCUUCUCGUUUGCUAAUUGCUGUUGUUAUCUCUGUAUCUAUUUUUGUUUUUGUCGAGUUUGAGUAUUUGAUGAAAUGUGAUUUUUUUUUCCACAUAAAAAGAUGAAUUUAAUAAACUUAGUCUGCCCAGAGAUAUUAAGUUUUAUUGCUGGAGGAACUCAAUGAUAUGCACUUUAAGUUUGAGAAUAAUCAAUGAAAAUACAAGGAUACGAGCAAGUUAUGAAAUUAUUGAAUUCACCCCGCACUAGAUUGCAUGAAAAAUCUCUUGAG
rnacentral:lncRNA from 1 species